rnacentral:rRNA from 1 species
GAUGAACGCUGGCGGCGUGCCUAAUACAUGCAAGUCGAGCGAACAGAUGAGGAGCUUGCUCCUCUGACGUUAGCGGCGGACGGGUGAGUAACACGUGGAUAACCUACCUAUAAGACUGGGAUAACUUCGGGAAACCGGAGCUAAUACCGGAUAAUAUAUUGAACCGCAUGGUUCAAUAGUGAAAGACGGUUUUGCUGUCACUUAUAGAUGGAUCCGCGCCGCAUUAGCUAGUUGGUAAGGUAACGGCUUACCAAGGCAACGAUGCGUAGCCGACCUGAGAGGGUGAUCGGCCACACUGGAACUGAGACACGGUCCAGACUCCUACGGGAGGCAGCAGUAGGGAAUCUACCGCAAGGGGCGAAAGCCUGACGGAGCAACGCCGCGGGAGUGAUGAAGGUCUUCGGAUCGUAAAACUCUGUUAUUAGGGAAGAACAAAUGUGUAAGUAACUAUGCACGUCUUGACGGUACCUAAGCAGAAAGCCACGGCUAACUACGU